rnacentral:rRNA from 1 species
CCCUUAGAUGUCCUGGGCCGCACGCGCGCUACACUGAUGCAUGCAACGAGUUUAUAACCUUGGCCUGAAAGGUCUGGGUAAUCUUUUGAACGUGCAUCGUGAUAGGGAUAGAUUAUUGCAAUUGUUAAUCUUGAACGAGGAAUUCCUAGUAAACGCGAGUCAUCAGCUCGCAUUGAUUACGUCCCUGCCCUUUGUACACACCGCCCGUCGCACCUACCGAUUGAAUGGUUCGGUGAAGAUCUCGGACUUCGAUAUUUAUUCUUUAUUGCGUUUAUAUUGUGGGAAGUUAUCUAAACCUCAUCAUUUAGAGGAAGGUGAAGUCGUAACA